AUGUGGAAGCAAUUUAUCGGCAAGCUGUCGUGGAAAUCGCUGAAAUCUGGCCCUGGCGGCGGCGGCGGUGGGGGCUCGCCCACGGCGAAGUCCAAUCCCAUGUCCCCCAGGGAGAAUGGGGCAUUCGGGAAGCCCCCCGCCUCGCCCAGGUCCCCCUCGGGGGCCGCCGGGGCCGAGGGGAGGUCCAGGGAGGACGCCUUCAUCGAGAAGGUGACCAUUUGCUGCACGGUGUACGACUUCACCGACCGGGGCAAGGACUCGCCGGAGAAGGAGAGGAAGCGGCAGGUCCUCAUGUCCCUCGUCGACUCCAUUGGCGCCGCCGAGGAGCCCCUCACGGAGGCCAUGAUGUCGGCGUGCGUGCGCAUGUUCGCUGUGAACCUCUUCAGGGUCUUCCCGCCCAAGGUCCGGUCAGGCAGCACCGCGUCGGAGACGGAGGAGGACGAGCCCUUCUUCGACCCCUCUUGGUACCACCUGCAAGUUGUGUAUGAAUUGCUUCUGCGGUUUGUGACCUCGCCAUUUGUUGACCCCAAGGUGGCUAGGAAGUAUGUGGACAGUAAAUUCAUCUCAAAGCUGCUUGACCUGUUUGAUUCUGAUGAUCCCAGAGAGAGGGACUGUUUGAAGACAGUGUUGCACAGGAUAUAUGGAAAAUUCAUGGGAAACCGACCGUUCAUCCGCAAGGCCGUGAGCAAUAUCUUCUAUAGGUUCGUCUCCGAGGCCGAUCAUCACAAUGGGAUAUCCGAGCUGCUGGAGGUGUUUGGCAGCGUGAUAAGUGGGUUUGCAAAGCCAUUGAAGGAGGAGCAUAAGUUGUUCCUAUGGAAAGCGUUGAUCCCACUUCACAAGCCUAAGACAGUGGGUGUAUAUCUGCCGCAGCUGACCUACUGCAUAACACAAUUUAUAGAGAAGGAACCCAAGCUUGCAGGAACUGUGAUUAGGGGUCUGUUGAAGUACUGGCCGGUUACAAAUAGUCAGAAGGAGAUGAUGUUCUUGGGGGAGUUAGAAGAAGUGCUUGAGUUGAUUGAUAUGGCUGAGUUUCAGAAGUGCAUGGUGCCAUUAUUCCGGAGGAUUGCGACUUGCCUCAAUAGCUCCCAUUUUCAGGUUGCUGAGAGAGCCUUAUUCUUGUGGAAUAAUGAACAUUUGUUCGAUAUGAUCUCCCAAAACCGUCAAGUGAUUGUGCCAAUCGUAUACCCAGCUCUGGAGAGAAAUGCACGUUUGCACUGGAACCAAUCGGUUCUCAACGUUACUAUGAAUGUGAGAAAAAUGUUCUUCGACAUGGACGAGAGAUUGCUUCUGUCUUGCCAGAGCAACUUCCAAGCGGACGAAGAGAAGCGAGCCGCGGCGGAGGAGCGUCGAAGGCUCACAUGGGAGCAACUGGAGCGGAACGCUGACCCUGCGUUCCAACCAGCCAAAGCGUCCCCUUCCGCAGCCCCUCCGAGAAUCCCCACCGUGACAUGA
rnacentral:rRNA from 1 species